ensembl:misc_RNA Metazoa_SRP Metazoan signal recognition particle RNA
GCUGGGUGCGGUGAUGCGUGCCUGUGGUCCCAGCUACUCAGGAGGCUGAGGUGGGAGGAUCGCUUGAGCCCAGGAGUUCUGGGCUAUAGUGUGCUAUGCCGAUUGGGUGUCCAAACUAAGUUCAGCAUCAAUAUGGUGACCUCCCAGGAGCAGGGGACCACCAGUUUGCCUAAAGAGGUGUGAAGCAUCCCAGGUCAGAAACAGAGCUGGUCAGAACUCCCGUGCUGAUCAGUAGUGGGAUCUCGCCUGUGAAUAGCCACGGCACUCCAGCCUGGGCAACAUAGCGAAGACCCCCAUCUCU